ACACGUUUAAAUCGACAAAAGCCACGUAAGGUGCCUCUGUGUACCGCCGCUACCUCCGCCGAGACCACUCACACCGCUGCCCCCAGGACUUUGGACAAGACCCCUUCGACCCGCGAGACGAGUCGCUUUUCAUGUUAGCAAAGUUCGCCCACGCGUUCCUAUAGUUCAGGGAGUGGCUACUCGAACGGCGGUACCUACGGAAAGAGUACUUCUACAGUCUCCUCCUCCUAGGACUACAUGUUCUAUUUCAAACCUACUUACUCCACGCACUCGACAGGAUGCUAUACCUCCUAACGUAGCUGCUAAAGUACGUUUCGCAACUACUGUUCCUGGGACUCGGUCUCCCGAAGUAUCUCUUCUAGUUCGUGAGCGAUCCAUUCAACCCCUUCUACUUCCGAGCGGCAGCCUAACGGUUACUCUAGGUACUAGACUUCUUUGUCUAGUGACUCCACCCGCUCUUCUUACGUUCCAUGUUCUGACUCCACCCGUUCUCCUUACGUUCCGUGUUCUGGCAGCUUCGGAAGAGCCUCUGGUAGCUACCUUGGUAACUGUGAUCUCGAGAACAGUAGAAACUACUACACAGUUUCUAACAGCCUUACCUGCUUAGUUUCUGACUCCAAUAGUUAAACAACUGACUUCUCAUGCCUGCACCCAGUAGUGCUGUUGACUUCCAUCAUAGAUAGAAACCCGGACCUCCUUACCCGUUUUGUUGAGAACGUUUAGUUCACAUAGUUCUCGAAUCCUCUCCUAAGCAGACAGUUCGAAAGAAUAGACACAGCGCUUCAGGUUCGUAAUACUUGUAGGACUCUUGGUAUAAGUCAUUUCAAUCGUUGGCUGGAAUACGACCAUGACUUCUUCCCUCACACGUCGUUGAACGAUAGUUGUAUAUGCUCAAGAAUGUUCUGUUUUCCAUGAAAUAGCAACAACUACUAUAUACCCUAUACCUAUGUACCCUACAAUAAUUCACACGUAAGGGGUACUGGUCCUACCCAUCAUCUUAUUAGUGGUGAUGAGCCUAUUUGUCACACCGUCUCCGUACAUCAAGUAGUAAGUUACCGGUACAAAUACCAUAUUCCGGAGAACUAUAACACAUGAGAUCUGUCAACAAGAUAUCUUCUGAUAAGUUGAGACUUCUUGUAACGGGAAGCGUGGAAGUUCUUCAAAGAUUAGUUUAGAACGUUUUUACGCCACCGAACGGAAACCGCUAGUAACGUUAAAGACCAGACGACCGAUCGUUUGUCUUUUGUUGUCUCUAUACCUUACUUCACUUUCUAAGUUAACCCGCACGUGAACUUGCUUUAGCAUCGCAACUUUUAUACUACUUUUAAAACAGUGAAUCAAUGAAACUAGACGGAAGAGAAGAGUUUUGAACGGAGAACACGGACCCAUAUAAAGGUCUCCUAUGACAAUAGCUCUUCUUUACAGAAUAUUCCUCUACCUAACGACUUCCCAAUAAAGUGUUUCUUCCGUCUAUAUGUCAUGUACUCAACCCCCUCUACACAAAGUUACUCGAACAGUUAUCCUUAAACUAGGUUGACCACUAACUGCUUGUGGUAUUCGACUUAUGAACAUCUCAAGUACUGUGUUAAGAACUAAAGUAGUAUAGGUUCAGGUAACUUCUAUUGAAACAAUGAAACCAACCCCAAGGGAAACAUGGUCAAUUACAGUUUGCCUUUCAAGCAGCCGAGAGAUAGGUUGAACUAUGUGUCCCUUUAACAUAGCACGUUUUUUCUUCUGACCAUAACAGGGUACGGUCUAGUGAGUUAUAAAAACCUUUAAGUCCCCUUUACAGAGCUAACCUACUUAAGUCCGUAAACGCAUAACAUCUAAAACCUACAACCCCAAGGGGGAUGUUACCUUUGUAGCUUGUGGUAUAAUUUUUAUAUCCCUCCAACGAAGUAGAUUCCAUGGACUUGGAUUCCCCUUGUUCUUAUAGACUCGAGGGUCCUCUAUAGCCCACAGAUGCACCGGAUCUCUACAAUCUAUAUUCUCCGUGGAAGCAUACCCUUGACGGUCGUUCAUAACAUUUAGAUCCCUUUAACCACGUAGAUAACUGACUGACGUUUCAAUGUAAAGGACUACCUUAACCCUUCAACGUCCGUGACCUCCACAACUUUACCCAGCUGAAAAGUAACGUUUCAGAACUGAUGUACGUUGUUGAACCUGUCGAUUCCUUAGACUCUUCCAACAAGUAACUACAGUUACUUGCACGUUCCUCUGAAGGACAGAGAAGGAAAACACUGAAAUCGAACGACCUCUUCGAACCAAUAGACUUUUAUUUUUUACCCUUGUGUAAGAAUGGUAACCCUUGACGCACGGGACAACGCGGAUCGGAAGUCUUCGAGCAGAAUUAACUAAGCGGUCAGGACGUACAAGGCCUAACCUACGCGCGUGAACAGUUGGAAGUUCUCAAUGCGUAACUUCACUUCCCUUAGUGCGUCUCACUGGAAACGUAAGAGCCUUCGAAUGGACGAGACGAGUUCGACCUUGAUCUUCCCUCUAUGGUACUAAGAUUUCUAUCUUACGACUGUCAGUCACGACUUCGACCCAAGGGUAUGAACUGGUUCAAGGCUAUAAUACGUCUGGUUCUUCCUUAUUUAGAGUUCAAGCGUCGUCCGAGGUACGGGUUGGAUCUUUACGAACACUAGCACGAUGCACGCACAUCUUGACUCCGUGAGCGACUAACAAAACUAAAGCCCUAUUUCUUAGACGGGUCUGAGCAAUGACAGCUAACAUGUCAUCUUGUUCCGCUGACGUCGUCAAAAUUCCGACGAUACUUCUCACGUCCGUCGUGUGUAGGGUUGGCGGGAUGACAUGAGAAAAGCGUCGUGUAGCUGCUCCUGCUCCUAAUUGUAUGAGUCCAACAGACAGAAGAGCAACAAGGGUAGGGUCGUGUUCGAAAACGCUCCUUCCCCUGACUACGCGACGGUCCAGCGAGAACGUUUCGUGUGGACGGGUCAUACGGGGAUGUUCUAAGGUUUUAUUCACAGCACCAAAAUCAAGUUUAAUGACAUCUCACCUCCCUUCUCACCCAUUCCAAACUUAAGGGUCCCCCCUUCCUCUACCUGCCGGUCCUACGCGCCGUGUGUAGCUAGUAAAAGUAAAUUGUUUUUUCCACGAUAACUCGAAUGUGUGCGUGUGUACAAUAGAUGUACAUAAACUAACGGUGUGUAGUGUGGUAGUGUUCUGUGGUACGUAUGUAUCCGAAGAACAUGUCCGAUACGAAUGACCUUUAAUGGGUCUAAAAGUGGUCGUAUCCCGUGGCUUUGGAACGUGUCCGGUGGCGGUUACAUCAGCUUUCGGUCUCUCUAUCGGCUGUUUCGUCUUUCGGGUCCGUCCUCGGAGAAAGACAGGAUAGUCGAAGGAACAACAAGGACCUAGACGUUUGAGUGGUGGUGGUGGUGGUGGUGGUGAUGAUGAUGAUGAUGAUGAUGAUGAUGAAGGGUUUAACAUCCUUUAUUUUGAUUGUCCCUAUUGUAACUCAAAGUCGACUCCGAACGCAGCAGCCGAUCCAGUCCCGUCCCCACGAGCGUACAGAGAGUCGAAAACCAGGCCCCCCGUCCCUCCCGUGCACCGUACCGCAGCCGCGGCCGUUCUUGUGCCGACACCAGCCGUGGGACGGCCGUCGAGCCGUGAGUCUCAUCUUCCUUUUACCUAUUCCUAAUGUCUUACUCUCUCCCCUUCGGCCUCCGGUUCUUAUCGUCCAGGACAUCCACGUAAUGACUUGUGGCACUCUCGGUGUUGGUAAGAUACAGAUACUGCUACCCUCUGUUCCACGUGACCACCAGUGUGUUCGUGUAACUACACGUGUGGUUCCUAUACUAUUUGUUCAACUCCCUUUUAUUACAAUUGAAAGACCCAAUAGAGUUGGGUUGAGGGUCUCAUAUGAACCGGUGUCUAGAACCGACACGAGUAUUCUUUCUUCAACGUACCUCAUGAUGAUCAACGCUCGUACUCGUGUCGUGGAGAGAGCCGGACACACACAUCUGUGGUUAUGCGCGCGUGUGUGUCCUGUACUGUUCUCGUGAUUUCGUCUCGUAUCUUUUGUCUGAUCCUUUCGUCUCUUCGGGAAAGAAAAAAAGGAAAGGAAAAACUAAUUGACGAGUUCGUGUAUACUUACAAAAAAACUUAAAAGUAUACUUACACGAAUAUGUCGUCAGGUC
rnacentral:rRNA from 1 species